AUCACAGUUUUUCAGCAAUGUAUACAUGAAGCUCAAUAAAUUUUUUAAAUAUUAAAAUAAAGUCAUAUAUUUUAAAAAUAUUUACUUGCAAUCAAGAUCAUCGUAAGACACAUCAUUUGAAUCAAAAUUAGUAUACUUUGAAGGUAAGAAAAGAUAUGUUUCGGAUGCGUAUCGGAGCAAUCAAAAUAAAUUCUGUUUUUCUUACAUUAACAUUUUAUUUAGUAAUCAUAUGGAGUUUAAACUUUUAUACAAAAUCGGAUUCUGAAUUACAUAGGAUUUUCAAUAGAAGCUUUCUAAGACAUAAUAUGAGAUAUGUAUCUUUCACAAUGUAGCUCAUCUUAAAUUGUUACGAUUGAAAAAUACAUAUUAAAGCACUUUCAGAAUCUUUGUGUUUAAUUUUGAGUUUCGAUACAAAAUAAAGGAUAUUUUAACAAGUAUUAGGACAUUAUGUAUCAAAGUUAGGCAAGUAGAAAGAUAGAUCAAUAUCAAUUUAUUUUUUCUAAAUAGAGAUGUUCUUCUCUUCUCCUUU
rnacentral:lncRNA from 1 species